rnacentral:rRNA from 1 species
UCCUGGGGCUGAAGGAGGUCCCAAGGGUUUGGCUGUUCGCCAAUUAAAGUGAUACGCGAGCUGGGUUCAGACCGGCGUGAGCCAGGUCGGUCCCUAUCUACCGUGGGCGUAGGAUAUUUGAGGGGAUUUGACCCUAGUACGAGAGGAUUGGGUCGGACGAACCUCUGGUGUACCUGUUGUCCUGUCCAGGGCACCGCAGGGUAGCUAUGUUCGGAACGGAUAAACGCUGAAAGCAUCUAAGCGUGAAGCCCACCCCAAGACCAGAUAUCCCUUGAGGCACCUCGAAGACUACGAGGUUGAUAGGCCGGAGGUGUAAGUGCAGUAAUGCCCUCAGCCGACCGGUACUAAUUUGCCGAUAGGCUUGACCGU